rnacentral:rRNA from 1 species
UACGUAGGGGGCAAGCGUUGUCCGGAAUCAUUGGGCGUAAAGAGCGCGUAGGCGGCCCUGUAAGUCCGCUGUGAAAGUCAAGGGCUCAACCCUUGGAUGCCGGUGGAUACUGCAGGGCUAGAGUCCGGAAGAGGAGAGUGGAAUUCCUGGUGUAGCGGUGGAAAUGCGCAGAUAUCAGGAGGAACACCAAUAGCGAAGGCAGCUCGCUGGGACGUUACUGACACUGAGGCGCGAAAGCGUGGGAGCGAACAGG